UGGCCUGCUCCAUGAUUAAAUUAAAUAGCCGCAGUAUUUUGACUGUGCAAAGGUAGCAUAAUCAUUAGUUUUUUAAUUGAAAGCUGGAAUGAAUGGUCGGAUGAGAAAGAAUCUGUCUCAUUUAAAUUUGAUUUGAAUUUUAUUUUUAAGUUAAAAAGCUUAAAUUUUAUAUAAAGACGAGAAGACCCUAUAGAGUUUAAUAAGUUAAUGGUUUAAUUGUUUAAGGAUUCUAAUAUAAUUAAUUAAUUGCUUGUUUUGUUGGGGUGACAUGAGAAUUGAAUUAACUUCUUAAAAUUUUUACAUUGAUUAAUGAGUGAAUGAUCCUGAUUUUUGGAUUUAAAGAGAAAAUUACCUUAGGGAUAACAGCGUAAUCUUUUUGGAGAGUUCUUAUCGAUAAAGAGGAUUGCGACCUCGAUGUUGGAUUAAAGUUAAAUUUUGGUGUAGAAGCUAAGAUUUUAAGUCUGUUCGACUUUUGAAACUUUACGUGAUCUGAGUU
rnacentral:rRNA from 1 species